GAUGAACGCUGGCGGCGUGCCUAACACAUGCAAGUCGAGCGAGAUUAAGUGUAGUGAGGGCUUCGGCCUGAGUGAAGCUUAUGAAAGCGGCGGACGGGUGAGUAACGCGUGGGCAACCUGCCCCAUACAGAGGGAUAGCCACUGGAAACGGUGAUUAAUACCUCAUAAGUCAGUAGGGUCGCAUGAUCUAGCUGACAAAGAUUUAUCGGUAUGGGAUGGGCCCGCGUCUGAUUAGCUAGUUGGUGAGGUAACGGCUCACCAAGGCGACGAUCAGUAGCCGACCGGAGAGGGUGAUCGGCCACACUGGAACUGAGACACGGUCCAGACUCCUACGGGAGGCAGCAGUGGGGAAUAUUGCACAAUGGGCGCAAGCCUGAUGCAGCAACGCCGCGUGAGUGAUGAAGGCCUUCGGGUUGUAAAACUCUGUCCUAUGGGAAGAAACAAAUGACGGUACCAUGGGAGGAAGCCCCGGCUAACUACGUGCCAGCAGCCGCCGUAAGAC
rnacentral:rRNA from 1 species